rnacentral:rRNA from 1 species
UACGUAGGGAGCAAGCGUUGUCCGGAAUCAUUGGGCGUAAAGCGCGCGUAGGCGGCCUCGUAAGUCCGUUGUGAAAGUCAAAGGCUCAACCUUUGAAAGCCGAUGGAUACUGUGAGGCUAGAGUCCGGAAGAGGCGAGUGGAAUUCCUGGUGUAGCGGUGGAAUGCGCAGAUAUCAGGAGGAACACCAAUAGCGAAGGCAGCUCGCUGGGACGGUACUGACGCUAAGGCGAAAGCGUGGGAGCGAAC